UGGUGGAGUGAUUUGUCUGGUUAAUUCCGUUAACGAACGAGACGUCCACCUGCUAAAUAGUGUAAUAAAAGACUUGAUUGUUUUUAUAUCAUAACACUUCUUAGAGGGACUAUCGGUGUGUAGCCGAUGGAAGUUGGACGCAAUAACA
rnacentral:rRNA from 1 species